AUUGAACGCUGGCGGCAGGCCUAACACAUGCAAGUCGAGCGAGCGGCGGACGGGUGAGUAAUGUAUGGGGCUCUGCCCGAUAGAGGGGGAUAACUACUGGAAACGGUUGCUAAUACCGCCUACUCUAGGCUAAACCCAUAUGGGAUUAGCUAGUAGGUGGGGUAAAGGCUCACCUAGGCGACGAACUCUAGCUGGUCUGAGAGGAUGAUCAGCCACACUGGGACUGAGACACGGCCCAGACUCCUACGGGAGGCAGCAGUGGGGAAUAUUGCACAAUGGGCGAAAGCCUGAUGCAGCCAUGCCGCGUGUAUGAAGAAGGCCUUAGGGUUGUAAAGUACUUUCAGCGGGGAGGCGUUACCCGCAGAAGAAGCACCGGCUAACUCCGUGCCAGCAGCCGCGGUAAUAC
rnacentral:rRNA from 1 species